rnacentral:rRNA from 1 species
GCAAGUCGAACGGGGAAAGUACUUCGGUACGAGUACUAGUGGCGCACGGGUGAGUAACGCGUGGAUAAUCUGCCCUUUAGUGGGGAAUAACUUACCGAAAGGUAAGCUAAUACCGCAUAAGACCACAGUUCCUGCGGGAACAGAGGUCAAAGAUUUAUCGCUAAAGGAUGAGUCCGCGUGAGAUUAGCUAGUUGGUGGGGUAAUGGCUCACCAAGGCGACGAUCUCUAACUGGUCUGAGAGGAUGACCAGUCACACUGGGACUGAGACACGGCCCAGACUCCUACGGGAGGCAGCAGUAGGGAAUAUUGCGCAAUGGGGGAAACCCUGACGCAGCGACGCCGCGUGAGUGAUGAAGGCCUUCGGGUCGUAAAACUCUGUCGUAAGGGAAUAACAAAAUGAACGUACCUUACAAGAAAGGACCGGCUAACUUCGUGCCAGCAGCCGCGGUAAUACGAGGGGUCCUAGCGUUGCUCGGAAUCAUUGGGCGUAAAGCGGAUGUAGGCGGACUGCCAAGUCAGAUGUGAAAGCCCCGGGCUCAACCCGGGAAGUGCAUUUGAAACUGGCGGUCUUGAGUAUAGUAGAGGAAGGUAGAAUACCAAGUGUAGUGGUGAAAUACGUAGAUAUUUGGUGGAACACCGGUGGCGAAGGCGGCCUUCUGGACUAUUACUGACGCUCAGAUCCGAAAGCGUGGGGAUCAAACAGGAUUAGAUACCCUGGUAGUCCACGCCGUAAACGAUGGACACUUGGUGUUGGAGGUAUUG